AACGAACGCUGGCGGCAUGCCUAACACAUGCAAGUCGAACGAGACCUUCGGGUCUAGUGGCGCACGGGUGCGUAACGCGUGGGAAUCUGCCCUUAGGUUCGGAAUAACUCCCCGAAAGGGGUGCUAAUACCGGAUAAUGUCUUCGGACCAAAGAUUUAUCGCCCUUGGAUGGGCCCGCGUUGGAUUAGCUAGUUGGUAGGGUAAAAGCCUACCAAGGCGACGAUCCAUAGCUGGUCUGAGAGGAUGAUCAGCCACACUGGGACUGAGACACGGCCCAGACUCCUACGGGAGGCAGCAGUGGGGAAUAUUGGACAGUGGGCGGAAGCAUGAUCCAGCAAUGCCGCGUGAGUGAUGAAGGCCUUAGGGUUGUAAAGCUCUUUUACCCGGGAUGAUAAUGACAGUACCGGAAGAAUAAGCUCCGGCUAACUCCGUG
rnacentral:rRNA from 1 species